AUGACGGCGAGCUCCAGGAGAGGGGGCGGCGAGCUCCAGGAGAGGGGGCGGCGAGUGGUGGCGGAGGUGAUGCGAGUGCUGGAUACGCACAGGGAGGGGCGUGUCUGGUUGAUGGGGUGGUCGGCCACCUACGAGACCUACCUCACCUUCCUGUCCAAGUUCCCCUUGGUUGACAAGGACUGGCACCGCAUGGCAUUCCUGAUCUCGGUAUCUAUGGCGUGGGCGAGCGCGGAAUCGAUGCUGGCCUUGGCCACCAUGGUGUUCACCGGCGUCAGCAGCAGCAUGGUCCGGCGUAACGCGAUCACCGUCCCGCUCCUCGGCGACGAGGUACAGUCCCAACUCAAUGUCCUCGGACGACUUCAUCGGGGGAGCGUGCGACGGAGUCGCCGGAGACGAGAACCUGUUGCUCUCUGGGUUGGGGGAGGGUGGCGGUGCACUUGCGCUUCCCAUCGAACUCCACCUCCACAAACGUGUUGCAGGACGCCGCGCCAUCCUUGGCGGAUAGCUCCGCCGCGUCCGCGACUUCCACGACCAGCUUCAUCGUGCCGGCGAUCUAGCAAGACAACCAGCAGCAGCCCGAGGUACGCCGACCUCCAGGAGCCAGUGCAGCCCCAAUCCGUCGGCCUCGACCUGCAGCUCUGGCACAAGGCAAAUGGCGCGUCGUAG
rnacentral:rRNA from 1 species